AGCUGGGAUGUGGGGCUGAAGCUCCAUCUGCUUGGAUCUCGGGAGAAGGAAAGGCUUGGGAGCUGAGGAUGUACCUGCAGCUCUUCCUUGUGCUGUACUCAGCUGCACUCCCACCAAGGCUGAUGAUCCGGCUGCUGAGAGGAAUCCUUUUUUUUUUUUUUCUUCUCUGGAGUUUUUACCAAACUCCAAAACAUCUGGAACAGCUCAUGGAGCUGGAGAGGAUUGUAACGCUGAGAGUGGAAAUAGGGUCAUGGAAACGGAGGCACCCUGUUGGAUUAAUGCUCGAGAGCAACACUUGGGAAGGCUUGAGGUCAAAGCCUCACCCCUUCCCUCACAAAGGAAAAGAGUUGGAAAAAUCCUGGUGAGACCCUGGGAGACGUUUGUCUGCACCACAAAACCACUGCCUGCCUCCAGGUCCUGCUCAUGGGGUCUGUGCCUGGGGGAUGUCUCUGGACCCAUUGUGCCCAGCGCCCAUCGGUACCCAUUGUCUUUGCACAUGGACGUGGCACUCUGCUGUUUAGGUCUCCCGGCUCCAACGUUUUCUCCUAUGUGGCAAACUGGCAGGAGGUCAAGAAAGAAGUCAGGAUUUUGAAAAGGGCAAUAGGGCCCCUGGGGUUAUUUAGAGCCUGCCAGCUUGACAUCCAUCAAGGCUGACAUACUGAGAGAGCUUUUACAGAAAGCAAUGUGAAGUUAAUUAAAGGAGGGGUGUGACUGAUGCCAGUCCCAGCAGAUGAUGAAAAUAGAUCUCUGCUAAAUUCUUCAUUUCUGCAGGGCUCGGAUUUGGGCUGAUAAAGAUGAUAC
rnacentral:lncRNA from 1 species